rnacentral:rRNA from 1 species
AGCGACAGGCUUAACACAUGCAAGUCGAGGGGCAGCGGGGUAGUGCUUGCACUACUGCCGGCGACCGGCGCACGGGUGAGUAACACGUAUGGAACCUGCCCGCAGCAGGGGGAUAAGCGGAAGAAAUUCCGUCUAAUACCGCGUAACAACGUUGGGAGGCAUCUCCCGAUGUUUAAAGAUUUAUCGGCUGCGGAUGGCCAUGCGGCGCAUUAGCUAGUCGGCGGGGUAACGGCCCACCGAGGCGACGAUGCGUAGGGGUUCUGAGAGGAAGGUCCCCCACACUGGUACUGAGACACGGACCAGACUCCUACGGGAGGCAGCAGUGAGGAAUAUUGGUCAAUGGCCGAGAGGCUGAACCAGCCAAGUCGCGUGAGGGAAGACGGCCCUACGGGUUGUAAACCUCUUUUGUCGGGGAGCAAAGCGAACCACGUGUGGUUCAUUGAGAGUACCCGAAGAAAAAGCAUCGGCUAACUCCGUGCCAGCAGCCGCGGUAAUACGGAGGAUGCGAGCGUUAUCCGGAUUUAUUGGGUUUAAAGGGUGCGCAGGCGGAGGUGCAAGUCAGCGGUCAAAUUGCGGGGCUCAACCCCGUACUGCCGUUGAAACUGCAUCCCUUGAGUGCGCGAGAAGUAUGCGGAAUGCGUGGUGUAGCGGUGAAAUGCAUAGAUAUCACGCAGAACUCCGAUUGCGAAGGCAGCAUACCGGUGCGCAACUGACGCUCAUGCACGAAAGCGUGGGUAUCGAACAGGAUUAGAUACCCUGGUAGUCCACGCAGUAAACGAUGAACACUAACUGUUCGGCCAGAAUGAUGGCUGAGUGGUACAGCGAAAGCGUUAAGUGUUCCACCUGGGGAGUACGCCGGCAACGGUGAAACUCAAAGGAAUUGACGGGGGCCCGCACAAGCGGAGGAACAUGUGGUUUAAUUCGAUGAUACGCGAGGAACCUUACCCGGGCUCAAACGACACAGGAAUACUUUUGAAAGGAGGUAGCCCUACGGGGUCUGUGUCGAGGUGCUGCAUGGUUGUCGUCAGCUCGUGCCGUGAGGUGUCGGCUUAAGUGCCAUAACGAGCGCAACCCCUAUCGCCAGUUACCAUCAAGUAAAGUUGGGGACUCUGGCGAGACUGCCGGCGCAAGCUGAGAGGAAGGCGGGGAUGACGUCAAAUCAGCACGGCCCUUACGUCCGGGGCGACACACGUGUUACAAUGGCAGGUACAGAGAGAAGCCAGGUGGCGACACCGCGCGGAACUCGAAAGCCUGUCUCAGUUCGGAUCGGAGUCUGCAACCCGACUCCGUGAAGCUGGAUUCGCUAGUAAUCGCGCAUCAGCCAUGGCGCGGUGAAUACGUUCCCGGGCC